AGUGGAUCUCAUAGAAGUACAGAGUGAAAUAUUAGGUUGGUACAAAAGUAAUUGCAGUUUUUGCCAUUUAAAAGUAAUGUUAAAAGUAAUAGUUACCAAUUGGCAAGAAUGUGUGUGUGUGGGUGGGUAGAGGAAUGGAUGGGCAUAAAUUGGUACAAACAUACAGUUAAGUAGAAGGAAUAAGUUCUAAUGUUUGAUAGCAGAGUAGGAUGUCUAUAGUUAGCAGCAGUGUAUUGUAUAUAUAUCAAAAUAACUAGAAGAGAGGGCUAGAAAUGUUCUCAACACAUAAAAAUGACAAAUACUCAAGGUGCUGGACACCCUAAAUACUCUGACUUGAUCAUCACACAUUCUAUGCAUGUAACAAAAUACCACAUGUACUGCAUAAAAGUGUACAAAUAGUAUAUAUUAAUUACAAAAAAAAAUCGUGUGGCUACCAAAACUCAUUAUUUCAGGUGCUAGCAAAUGUAGUCACAACCAAGACUAGGCUUGAACUCUUCCUUUCAGCUUCCUGACAGCCAAGUAACGGAGUGAAAGGUCAGAUAAUUUACUUAGACCUGAGACUGCCAUUAAUAUUGUCAACAAAUUGCUUUGAUCUACAGCUCAUUAGCUUUGGUUGGAAUUGCUAAGCAAAUAAGCCAAAGUGAAAUUUUGUUCUAUCCAAUGGCCUAUCUAGUACCUUAACCCCAGACAACCUUCUUACAUGGUGAUCACAACUAAGCUGGUGAAUGGGCAUAAAUCUUUUAUUGCUACCAGAAAAAAAAAAAAUCAAAGUGCAAGCUCUAUCAAAUGUAAGUGAAUGCCCAUGAUGUGUCUAGCAUCUAUACACUGUGUUCUAGAAGUAUGUUAAUUUGGCUUAAAGAAAAACUAUAAAUUCUUUGUCUUCAUUCAGAAAUCAGUAAUUCUCAAAAGGGAAGGUAGUUUAUAACCCCUAGGAAGAUCAGUGAUUCUCAAAAGGUGGUACGGUUUAUAACCUCUAGGGGUCACAUCCGAAUCUCCUGAGGAAAAUGCUGAACUAUGCAAUCCCUUCUCAACUUUCCCCUAGAGACAGAUUCUAACAACAUUGUCUCCUAUGAAAGAUUUCAUGAUUACUGUCAUGAAUCACUAUUAUUGAUGGGAGAAAAAGUUUAUAUCAGGUAUAUUGAGAUGCAAAAGGAAAAGAAUCACUGUUAUAAGCUGAAAUUGUUGAUGGAAGUGCACAGGAAACAAAACAGCAGCAAGAUAUUACACAAUUAGCUGACAUGUAUAGUGACAUUUUUGCCAGAUUACACACAAAAAAAUAUAACUGUAGUUUUUUCAUGAGCCAAAUUUCAAUAACAGCUAUUAAAUGGUAUUUAAAAUGCAUCAUUUAUAGAAAUGACCUUUUUCAGAAGAACUGGAAAAUUUUAACUCAUAUAUACUAGCUGAAGGAAAAAAAGGUUCUUGCUUAUAUUUCAAUAAGCCCUCUCUGCAUUGAGAAAAGAACAUUGUUGACUACCUUUUGUUUCUUGGCUUGAUACUAGUUCUCUAGCUUUCUUCUUUUUUUGUUUUCUUUUUUUUAAAUACACAAUUUUUACUAAUGCAAACCUCACAUUGACUCAGAUGAAAGAGGCAACAGAAUUUCUGGAUACCGUGUACCCUUUAGAUAAUGUACCUCAACAACGAUUCAGUUUCUUUUUCUAAUUUUGCAGAUCAUUUAACAAAGUGUACAGCUGAAAAUGGUUUGUGUAAGUGGUUUUUCAUCUGUAAGCUUAUUAUAUUUCCUUUGAAAAUUGUUCUUUGUGAUUUCAACAUCUUCUGGGGGUAGGGUGGUGACAUUUUAUAUAUAUAAUAUAUAUUUUUUUUCCUCUCUCUCUCUCUCUGUAUGCCUUUUAAAUCCAACAGUCACUUCUCUUUCCUCGUGAUAAUCACUUCUUUUAUGGACUGAAAGCACUUUGUGCUUUUUCCUCUGUAAUCCUAGUUGAUUAUACAGUAUCUUCAUUGUUGCUCGGUGUAUAAGUCUUCGAGGUUUCGGCUGCACUGUCCAAAUCAUGAUGAGCUUCAACCAUGGCCACUGACGAAACCUCAGGCAUUUCGGCUGGUAUUUUGAACAAAUUUAUUUACUGCCUUUAUUAUAAUGUUGUCGGACAGUUGUGCAUCUAGAUGAUCUGGUGGAGUUUACACUUCAGAGGCACUGGGAAUGCCAAAGAUUUAUUUGCCUCUCAUUCAUUAAGAAGAAAAAAGAAAGAAAAUGUAACUAAUUGAAGAGUCUGGAUGACAAUUAUCUGUUUGUCGCCAUGGGUUGGGCAGAUCCUGAAGAGAACCAACUUGAGUCUGACAGUCCUUCCAGAACACGGCACCCACCUCCACCAUAUAACACAGCCAAGUGAAACACUAAGGAGGCUCUGUAAGGCAUGACUCUGAAGAAGGCCACUAUCUUUUACUGCCGUGACACCAUUUCUCAGAACACAUCACAUGGCCCCUGAGUGGUCAGGAGUCCAGAGAAAAACAGUCAAGCCCUCCUUUAAUAGUAAAAUUUUUGUCUGACCCUCUCAAGUGGCUAUGUAGAUCUCUUGCAAAUUGAACCAGAAGGUCUUUGGUUCAAGUUCCUGACUUAGCAAUUUUGUAUGUUAUCUCACAUACCAUGAUCAGGUUCUUUGUGGAAGUUCUCUCUUUAAUUCUUCUUGAAAUAGGUUUGUUUUGUUUUGUUUUUUUAAUGCCUAUUUGAAAUCUGAGGAAACAAAAGCUCAGAAAGUGACUGGGUCCUUGACUUCCCAGCUCUUUACUACAGUCACUGGGGAACACAGUGACCCCAUCCCUAAUCGCUUCUUCAAGCGGUGCAAGUGACCCAGGAAUUCCCCGGCCAUUGCACAAUGAACUUUCCAUACCUUUAUUGGGAAUUCAGUUGUGGGGAGGAAAUCAAGGCUUUCAAAAACAUUAUCAGUAGACAAAAAUGAAGCCCCAUCUGCAUUUGAAUUUUCUAGUUUCUCAGUGUCAGGCAUUGAAUUGUCAUGGUUUGGCUCCCACUCGUUUUCUGCUUCAACGCUCAACAAGAAGACAUGGAAGUGCAGCAUCACCUAGAAUUCACUUGGUUGGAAAGAAAUGCAUUUCCUGUGAGUUGGAGAAGGUCCUUCCAUUCUUUGCAGGAUCUCACUCUGUCACCCAGGCUGGAG
rnacentral:lncRNA from 1 species